rnacentral:lncRNA from 1 species
GAGUCACUUCUGGGGUGUGAGUUUUCAUUCAUAUAUAUAUAUAUAUAUAUAUAUAUAUAUAUAUAUAUAUAUAUAUAUAUUGUAAUUGUUUUAAUUGAAUGAGAAUCAUUAAUAUUUUUCUCAUUUAAAGUACUAGUACUAUAUAUAUUAGGAGACCUAGACAGCAAUAAUACAAAAUGCUGAAAAGUAAAAUUCAUCUGCAGAUUAAGACUAAGUUGUUUAAUAGUCCAUUUCCAAUUCAUGAACAAAUUAAUGUGUAAUUAGAGAAGCAAUAAUUAAUGUUCAUUGUGCUAUGCUACUCCUGUCCUAAGUACUUGUUAAACCUAAACUUUUAUUCAGACUUAAAAUAUCUUCCUGGCUUGAGAAGCAAUUCAGCUUGUCAACAGUUUGUUGUCUUUUAAGAUAUUGACAAGUGUGAAUAGUAGGUAGGAAAGGUGGGGCCAGGCUUGUGUGUUACUCUCACAAGGUACCGUAACCUGCAGGCUGGUAUUACUCUCACAGGGUACCGUAACCUGCAGGCUGGUAUUACUCUCAUAAGGUACCAUAACCUGCAGGCUGGUAUUACUCUCACAAGGUACCGUAACCUGCAGGCUGGUAUUACUCUCACAAGGUACCGUAACCUGCAGGCUGGUAUUACUCUCACAAGGUACCGUAACCUGCAGGCUGGUAUUACUCUCACAAGGUACCGUAACCUGCAGGCUGGUAUUACUCUCACAAGGUACCGUAACCUACAGGCUGGUAUUACUCUCACAAGGUACCGUAACCUGCAGGCUGGUAUUACUCUCACAGGGUACUGGGACCUGCAGGCCACAUUGUAGGCCUUCACUGCCGCCCCCCUCCCCACUCGCAUCUGAUCUUUGUCGGGGAUACUACCAAAUCAUAAUUUAAUGAGGCCUUAGUAGCGAAUACUGUGAAUACUAUGUAUUAUUUUUAUGAAGGUUGUGUUUUAAUAAGUCCAACUAGUGAUAUAUAUCGUCUAUCAUGAAUAAUCUGUUAAAAAAGCAUGGUUUCUGUAUUUUAGGAUCCUGUUAUGAUAUAUAUAUAUACUGCAUGUUUUACCACUGUGGCUCAGGAACAGUGCUGCCAUAACCUCGGUCUUUGGUACCUAAAAACAUAUGCCUGGGCCAUGCAUAUCGAGGCAGUAAAUGUCAAGGUCGGUAGUUCCAAAACUAUGGAUGGCAAAACCGGACAUUUCACGAUUAAUGUUUACCGUUUGUAUAAUCAUCUAUUCAUUUGGGCAAUUAAACAGUAGGUGGCAGUAAACUAUCCCAAGUCAUAAGCUCUGCUUCAGCAUCCCUCGUGCUGGCCUUUUGUGUUUUGUGACUCAUAAAUAUUAACAUUUGGUGCCUACUACAAUCACCCAGUAAGGCUUGUAAUUCUGAUUGUACCUUAGCCGAUUGCAGUCACGACUCCUGAUAAGAUAAAAUCGUGUGUGCCCUCACCCUCUUGUUAUCCUUACCUCGUCACCAUCCAGACCUAUAAUGACGUGUUGAACCGCUAUAGUGACAUAUCACAUUGUUCUGGUAAUGUUUUGCUAGUCACGAUAACUACUUAACUGUUGAUCAAGUGAAUACACGAGCUAGUCAACUCUUGAUGCUGAUCAGUUAGUUUUGAUGCUAGUCAGUCAGUUUUGAUGCUGAUCAGUCAGUUUUGAUGCUAGUCAGUCAGUUUUGAUGCUAGUCAGACUUUAAGGCUGACAUACGUUCCCCAUUGUCUAGACAUCACAAAGUUCUUUCAUCCCAAAGUUCCUUCACCAUACCUUGUUUGCUUCAGAGGUCUUUCUAUUCCUGUCUUUCCCUAAUAAAUCUCCUGGUCAUAUCUCCUUAGAGGACACAAUGAUUUUGUUCCCUAAAAGUUAUAGAAUUCUGUUCCCUUGAGACCGCAAGGUCACCACCAUAGACCGCUAGGUCACCAACAGGGGGCCACAAGGUCACCAUCAGAGGCCACAAGGUCACCACCAAAGGUCACAAGUUCACACUCCCUCUGAACACCAUGUGGCCCCUUGCAGCAGUCUGCCUACCCCAGGGGUCCAGGGUUACUAUGCAUUGUAUACAUCGAUUACUUAGAUUUUUACAUAGCUACUCUUUAGUUAAUAAAUAUCACAAGAGAA